UCCUGAGUGUGCCCGCUUUAAUCGGAAUUACUGGGCGUAAAGCGCACGCAGGCGGUCUGUCAAGUCGGAUGUGAAAUCCCCGGGCUCAACCUGGGAACUGCAUUCGAAACUGGCAGGCUAGAGUCUUGUAGAGGGGGGUAGAAUUCCAGGUGUAGCGGUGAAAUGCGUAGAGAUCUGGAGGAAUACCGGUGGCGAAGGCGGCCCCCUGGACAAAGACUGACGCUCAGGUGCGAAAGCGGGGGGAGCAAACAGGAGGAGAAAACCUGGUAGUCC
rnacentral:rRNA from 2 species